rnacentral:rRNA from 1 species
UACGUAGGGGGCAAGCGUUAUCCGGAUUUACUGGGUGUAAAGGGAGCGUAGACGGCGGUGCAAGCCAGAUGUGAAAGCCCGGGGCUCAACCCCGGGACUGCAUUUGGAACUGUGCUGCUAGAGUGUCGGAGAGGCAGGCGGAAUUCCUAGUGUAGCGGUGAGAUGCGUAGAUAUUAGGAGGAACACCAGUGGCGAAGGCGGCCUGCUGGACGAUGACUGACGUUGAGGCUCGAAAGCGUGGGGAGCAAACAGG